GUCUCCGUAGCGUAGCGUAGCGGUAGCGUUACUGCCUACCACGCAGGGGGCCCGGGUUCGAUUCCCGGCAGGGGACU